AAUGCCAGCUUCCUGAAUCAAGUUGAGGAAUGUCGGAGUAGGUUAUGGUAGCAGUGCCUGUGACCGACAAAAUGCUAAGUGGAAGGGAAAUUUGCCAAAGGAACCUGUAUUUGAAGAUCUCCAUUGAUGGUGAAUUUAAACUCGUGUAUCUCCUCCAUCAGGACAUGGAUUAUGGAAUUUUAGCUGAAAGGGGUACUUCAAAAUGUUGAGUUGCUUACAAGAGAUGUGUUUUCCUGCAGUUUCCCACGAAGGCAUGUGCAGUGGCCAACAGUCUGGGAUCUGUCAUUGGAGAGGGUAGAUCUAUGGAGAACUUUGGCAUUUAUAAAGGGUUUUCUCCAGCAAACGGGGAAGUCUUCAUAAACUUGGGUUUUGGCUUGUAAUGGGGCUGUACUGCAGCUGGUGACUGUUUAAAGGACAAAGGAAUGUUGGAUUCUAAUACUGGAUUGCAAGAUGGCUAAUUGAUCUUAGGACAAAUAAUGACUGUUUUCCCAGCCUUUUCCUUACGUGUGGAGAUGGACUGUAGAAUCCGUGGAGAAAUUCUCUCAAGAUAACUAAGGAGCUUGCCUGCAGAUUCUGAUUCAGGAAAAGACCUCUUGUGCACAAUAGGAAUUUGUGCUCAUGAAUUAAAGAACUUGGGGAUUCAGCCUCGUAGUAAGAGGAAUGCUGCAAGUCGUCGAUUGGUUAUAGGACAAAGCAUAGCUUCCCAGCUGUAUUUCCCCUUGUGGUGUUGUAAAGACUGAUGUACUGCAAGGUGUCUGAUUUUAGGACAAAGAUUAGUCCAGACUGAAGUUUCCUCUAGUCCACUUCAAGAAUUUUGGGUCUAAUAAUGCACUGCAAGUUGGCCGAUUGAUUUUCAGACAAAUCUUGCUGUAGGGGGUUCGGGUGCUGAAGAUAAACUGUACUGUGGGAAAAAUUCAUCACACAUGAAGGGAUGUUGGAUUCGGAUAAUGGACUGCAAGUUGGCUGUUUGAGUUUAGUACCAAUAAUGGUGAAUGCCGUUUCGAGCAAUAUAGAUCUCUCCGCCAAGACCAGUGGGAAUAAGGUACUUUUGUAAAGCAGUUGCAGUAAUGGUGUUCCAGGAAAGAGGUAAUUAUAAGUAGCAGGUAAGUUGCAUUUAAUUCAAGUUUGGAAAACUUUCAGGGACUGUCAUGAGUUCAGUUGUUGGUUGGAGAAUACUAAAUUAAUGCCUAUACAUGAGACAGAAUUGCUGAAUAGACCUUGAAUUCUUCAGUAUUACAUGCACUUUAGG